CCCCUCUCAGGGUCGCAUCUGGAGAGUUUCCAGUACUCUACCAGUCUCGGCUACGGGAGGGAAGAGUCAAACAGAGGCCUACUCAUUCCAUUCCUAGCUUGACCAGUGGCUAGCGAGUGGAAGGCAAUCUGCUACAAGU